AGGGGCCGGCUGCCAUCAGUGAAGUCAGAUUCAUAAUCGAGUCUUCUUGCGUUGCUUUGCUGUACUCGGAGUGACUCAGAGAGCAAAGAGAUUACAGCCGGCACAAUCCUCGCGGGCAAGAUCACAUGUCACAGCACCCAUCUCCAAUGGGAGCCCCCAGAGCAUGUCUCCAAGCCCAAAACCCAGACGCCACCACGCCAACCAAGACCCCUCAUCCAGGGAGAGUUGCAGGCCAUGAGGCAGCCCAACAGAAGACCCUUGCAUUCCAGCUGUAUUGGCUGCAAGCUCAGAAUCUAGUUUACCCUGCAGCUCACAGUCCGGGGGAAAUGGAUGUUGCCUGGCAUGCAGCAGAAGCAGCAAGCACCACCAAAGCCCCAGGCCGUGCUUUAGCCAGCAUCUCUGCAGCAACCAAAGCAGCCACAGUAACAGCCACAGCAGGUCUGAGGUUAUGAUUUCAAAGCUCAUAUCUGGAGUUUUGGAAUCACAGCCAUUGAACUGGCCACGGGGGCAGCUCCUUAUCAUAAGUACCCACCAAUGAAGCUAUUGUGAGGAACACUGCUAGGAAGCACAGGUGUACAAAUUUCUCUUUGAAACUGUCUUUGCUUCUGGUUCUUUUAGCUGUCUACAUAAAGCUGGAAGUGCUAGAUCAUAAGUCACUAAAUCAUCUGGUAAUUGCACUCGCACUUCUUAGGGAGCAGCCACAUUGCGUCCCACAGUGGCUG